UACGUAGGGUGCAAGCGUUAAUCGGAAUUACUGGGCGUAAAGCGUGCGCAGGCGGUUUUGUAAGCCAGAUGUGAAAUCCCCGGGCUUAACCUGGGAAUGGCAUUUGGGACUGCAAGGCUGGAGUUUGGCAGAGGAGACUGGAAUUCCCGGUGUAGCAGUGAAAUGCGUAGAGAUCGGGAGGAACAUCAGUUGCGAAGGCGGCUCUCUGGACCAGCACUGACACUGAGGCACGAAAGCGUGGGGAGCAAACAGG
rnacentral:rRNA from 1 species